rnacentral:rRNA from 1 species
UACAGAGGGGGCAAGCGUUGUUCGGAAUUACUGGGCGUAAAGGGCGCGUAGGCGGCCUUCUAAGUCGAACGUGAAAUCCCCGGGCUCAACCCGGGAACUGCGUCCGAUACUGGAAGGCUUGAAUCCGGGAGAGGGACGUGGAAUUCCAGGUGUAGCGGUGAAAUGCGUAGAUAUCUGGAGGAACACCGGUGGCGAAGGCGGCAUCGUGGACCAAUAUUGACGCUGAGGAGCGAAAGCCAGGGGAGCAAACGGG